ensembl:lncRNA
CACUCAGUUAAAAUCCACACAUUGUCAGGACUGUGUUCCUUUCUGCAGGCUCUGGGGGAGAAUCUGUCUCCCUGCCUCUCAAACUUCUAGAGGCUGCCUGCAUUCCUUGGCUUGUGGCCCCUUCCUCCAUCUGCAAACACUGCAUCUCUUUGACCCAUCUUCUAAUGUCAUAUCUUUCUCUGACUGCAGCUGGGAAAGGUUCUCUGCUUUUAGGGACUCAUGUGAUUAGACUGGGCCCACCAGGAUCAUCCAGGAUAUCCUCCCAUCUCAACGUCUAUAACCUUUAGCUGCAAAGUCCCUUUUGUGAUGGCAAAAUAUACACAACAUCUUUGGGAGGCACUAUUCUGCAGACCACAGGCCCUUUGCAUGCAUUGUUUGCUACACCCAGAAUGCUCUUCCACCCCCUCUUCUCCCGGCCGACUCCUUUAGGCCAAAGGACACAUCUUAAGAGAGAAACCUGCCCCCCCAACCCCCCACCGCUGGAAAAGCCGUUUUAAAUUAGACCCUCCUCGUUACCAUGGCUCCUGUUUCUUUCCCUCACUUUCUUUCCCUCACUUCCUUUCCCUCACAGCACUUCCAAAUUAAUCAGAUAAAUUUGUCUAAUUACUAGUUGAUUGUUCCAUUUGACUGCAAGCUCUGUAAGAACAGGAACCAUACCGAUUUUGCUGUGUACUGUUAACAGUGUUGGCCACAUGGUAGAUUAGACACUCUAUAAAUACUUAAUGAAUGAAACUGGCUCUAAACUUUAAGCUCAGGCUUGCCUCCUCCAGGACAAAUCCUGACCAGAGGAGGACAGGGUUUGCUUCUCUUCUGCUUCCUGUUGGAUCUGCAGGAACCCCCGCCCCGCCCAGUGCCUGGUCCUCUCCCCCAUAUACUCAAUGCCUGAUGGUGAAUGAACAAACGGACACGUCUCUCCGAUCUGGAUCUCCCAGGACCGCCCGUGGAUCGCUGCCCUCCUCCACAUUGGAGCUCCUGGGUGCAGACUGCUCUGCUGACCGACCCUGGACCCUCUGGAGGCCAUGUCUGGACGUCCUCUUUCCAUUUCCAGUCCAGUCCCCUUGCCUCUAUUCCACACUACAGGAAUUUUAUCUCUGAUGCCAAUUUUGGGAUUAAUACUCGUCUCAGAAAUUGGCACAAGUCCAGAGAGAACAUAGGAUUUAGUCAAACCAUAUUUACUGAGCACCUAAUCUGUCCCAGGUCUUAUACUGAAAGUUGUUCAAAACUGAGCAACCACAGAAACCACCGUUGAGAGCUCACAAAAUGGCAAAGACACAAAUAACCACCAAAGAAUGAUACAGGCCCCAAUUCUGCUGCCACAGCUAUGCGACGGGGGUUGGGCUGCAGGGGAAAGAAAAGACAGAAGUGUCCAGUUGUUUCUCCACCAGACCAUCCUACUAAGGGCAGAACUCAUCACCAGCUGCCCCUCUGGCUCAGGUGGAGGGGAGGCAGGGAGAGCCGGUGGAAAAGGUUUGGGGUGGAAGCAAGAAGUGUGAACAAGAUUUUACUUCUCAUUUAAGUGUAGUUACCGUCUAAUUCCAGCAAGGCAGAGGCUCAGGCUCUGAAAAGCCUUUAGAAACGGGAAGGACUGUUCUCCAAACAGGCACUCAUCCUCAAGUGAGGAUCCACCUGGCCGACUUCAUGGAAGGGCCCCAAGGAUGAACGAAGGCAGCGUCAGCAGGCCUCUGGAGCAGGGACAGAGCUGCCCAACUAGGAGGGAGGACACAGCCCCCUUGGGCCCUACUUCUCAGAGACUCUUUCUCAGACGCCAAAGCGCUCAGUUGGGAAAAUUGCAAAAUAAUAGUAAAAAGAUUUUCAAGUUGGAAAGUGCAGCCCUGAAGUUGAUAGGCACCAGGCAGGCCAUGAAGUUCCAUCAACUGCCAGCUGAGAUGCGAGACCCCGGGGGCAGCCAGAGGACCAGCAGGCAGGUGACACACAGAUGAAAUGUGUCAUCUAUCUCGUUGGCCUUGCUCACCCAUGGAAUCCCAUCAGAGGGCUCAUGGGAAGACAUGGUGGGGCUCGCGACAUACCUCCAACUUGCUAGCUCACGUUAGUCCUUUACUUGGGCCCUUGGUUGUGGCUGACACAGAGUUUUACUAAUGCACAGUGAUCUGCCAAACCAUUUUGGCUGUGUUUUUCUGGAAGCCAGAGAGAAGAACGCUAUAAAAAAUAACAAGCUAAGCAGAAUGCCCUGCCUGUCUCCCCGAGGGGCCACCAGCUAUUUCCCAUGAAAAUAAAGAACAGGGAAGAAUUAAGAGCGGGGAGGGGAGGAUCAGAGAAAGCCAUCUGUAAAACCAGGAGGGUUUUCAAUGACUUUUCAGCAGCAAAAGAACAAUUAUUAUAUUAUUCUGAGGGCAUUCAAAAUUCUUGAAAAUUGAGAGAACUUGAAAGUGAAUUGAUGCUGUUGUUUUUGCUUUUUAACCAGCAUUUUGAAAUGUUAUGGGAGCCUCAAAAUAAGUUUUAAGAACUGCCACUCUGUUCCCUGAUGUGAAGGGGGCUCCAUGGGGCUUCUACCGUAAUCCGGGUAAGUAAAGAGUGGAUUAAGGCAGUAAUUUGCAGUAGCUAAAAAAAGAACUACAAAGGCACAAGUGCUACCAAUUAUAUCUCAACACAAACCAGUGCCUCCUUAAGCCUCGACGCAGAGAAGGCAAACAAUUUCAUUGUCAAGCAGGGGUUCUCUGGAAAGCCUGGGAGCAUGCGGGGCGCAUUAAAGGGGAGAUAUCUCGCAUGUGCAAUUACUCAACACAUCUUUAAAACUGUAAACACUUGUUCACAUGUGGAGAAGUUUAGAGCUGCGCAGGCUUGGAAAACCCACCUGGCAGGCGGGCUCCCUCCAUCUCUCUCCAGUUGAGUAACAGUUCUCGCCGCCCGCUGUUCCUCCGAGAGCCAAACACAAGUCAGCGGAGAAAUCAUUACGGAGUGGGGGGCAGGAGUUCACGCGCGUUCUAUUUUUAGCCAGAGCGCUCCCUUUUCCCCUCUCCCGAUUGAUCCGCUCGUAUAAACCUUGCCUCCGUUUCUCCCCGCCCCACCUAGCUGCCUCUGGGAGCCUGCGCACUCAGAGGUGCCUUUUGGUUCUGGCCUGCUGCUCUCUCCACCUUUGAUUGGUGAGUGGCACUGAGGAUGCCGACAUGUCCAAGUAAUCUCGGCGGAGGAACUUUGCCCAGCGUUGGUGUUGGAAAGAGAAGGCUGGGUGGCCUCAAAGAAUAGUCCCAUGCGUGGAAAAAUCCUCUCUCCCAACGUGCUCAACAGAAGAAAGUAUAGAAGUCGAGGACACCAGCUUAUAGAGCUGGGAAUGAAACGGAAAUAAAGCAAAGUUUAUUCUCUCCCGUCGGCCCCGGCCUGGCUUACUGGAGAACCACACUCAGAUGUGUGUGAGUCACAUGUCAAACGUGGAAAAAACCCACUAGACCUUCCUGCUUAGUUGGCUGCCCAACGAGAGGGCACGGCUGCUUCUCCUUUCCCGGGGCGGAUCUUACAUGUCUCCAGCAAGGAACCGAUUGUUUUGCUUCUCUGAUUUAACUUGCCAUCGUGAGGCCUCUGGGGAGGGAAGCAAGCCAGUUCCCCGGCCCCUCAGAUCCGCAGGCACACACGCUCUAGGCACCCGAGACAAGCUCAAAGGAGAGGGCGUGUGCUCCAUCCAGAGGGCAGUACACCCAGCCGUGGAAAGAUGGCAAUAAAUCCCUGAGAAAUUAAAAUUUCACUUGAAGUGGAAAUUUGACCAUCACCGAAACUCUGCCAAAUUUUGGAUUUGCGGAUUGGUAAAGAGGUUUCCAAAAUGAAAUGAUGUCUACAGGUUGUUUGUUUUAAAGGACGUAAUAUAUAGUAAAAAUGAAAUAAGCAUCCCACCCGAGUAAGAGUGAUUUCUCUCCCAGCAGACCUUUUCCAGGCUCUAGUAAUUUCGCUGUUAAUGGGCAGAGGGAACGUAAUCAGCUAGGUAAUGGGCACCCCUACCACUGAAGUCAUUUAAUUAGCACCAGUAAAUGAAAGCUGCCCAGGUGCUUGGGCCCAAUUAGCUGUGCCCGAAACAUCUCCCACAUGGGCCAGCAAUUAGAGCCUAGGGUGGGGAGCUGAGCGCCCUCGGAGAAGACUGCCCCAGCAGAGCACCCCCCUUCAACAAGCCAAGCAAUGCCAGAGCCCCCGAAUCCUCAGGAAGCCAUCGCACUUGGAGAGGCAAAGACACAAUUUAUAGAGUCACAUAAUAAUUUUUAAUGAUACAGUAUUUUCCAAGUAAUAAUAGAAGUCUGGGCUCUGAAGUCGUAUCACCUAGGUUUGAAUCCUGGCUAUAUGCUUUGAGCAAGUUACUAAGACCUUUUUGUCUCAGUUUCCUCAUCUGCAAAAUGGGAUAAUAAUAAAAUCUACUUGAGGCCUAAGUGAGUUAAUAUGUAUAAAAUGCUGCUUAGAAGACUUACUGGCACAUACUUUCAUAAGUGUUGUUAUUUUUACCAUAUUUUUUAAUUAUUCUUGUUAUUAUACAUUUAUCUCACUUUAUUUUUAUCUCACCAAUGCAUCGUGGUAGCCCAUUGGUUUACAUAUUGUGUGUGGCUGCUUGGGACCAGCACAGUAGAGUUGAGAGUGCCUAGACUGUUCAGAUUGCAAAGCCUAAAAUAGUCAUUAUCUGGCCCUUUAGUUAGCCUAAAUUAAUAUUCAUAAUAACCUGUCAAGUAGGUUUUGUUUCCAGUUUUCAGAUAAGGAGACCAGGACUCAAAGGAGGUCAAGGAUAUGCCUAAAAUCUCUCCUCUGGAGUCCAGACCCCAUUUGACCCCAACAUCCGCCCCUUCCGGCCAUGCUCUGCUGGGUCCAGGAGCCCAGAGCCUGUUCUCAGUGCCGUGCCCAUCAGCACCCACCAAGGCGAGAGAUGAGCUGGAUACAGCCAGGUGGGCUGCGGCUGAUAAAGGCGCCCUCCUCCUCCAGGGAGGAAACCGUCAUGUGCAGAGUCGGGCCAUUGAGGGCAGUGAUGCUCUGAGUCAGCUUCUCUUCCCCUCCUACACACCAGAAGUUUAUUCCUGGUCCCUGCUGUGGCUGCUUUGUGUUAGGCACGAUGGUGGCAGAAGCAGGUUCCCUGAGAGGUCUGUCCCCUGGCUUGGCCAGGGACGGUUUCGGGCCUGUGAUGAGGCAUCGGCAUUGAGUUACUCCUCAGGGACACGUUGGUAAUAUUCGUUUACCAGAUGAUGUGGUAAUUACCCAGAGAGCUGUCAAAUUUCAAAUGUGUUCAGAAAGUGGAAGUUAUUGCUACCACAUGUUGUGGGUGUUAAGAAGCAUUUUCCUUGUUGGAAAAGUGCCCCGGAUUUCAAAGUCUUUGAAGGUAAGAGAAUCAUCUCAACUCAUCAUAGACAGUUGCCCAUUUAAGGGACACCCGGCCAUCCGGGGUUACAGGUGCACUGGGAAGGUUUCCAGGGCUGGGCUUGGAAGUGGGAAGUUUGCCCUCUAUUAGCUAUGUGGGCUUGCGCAAGCCACGGCCCUUCUCUUCAACGAUAAAAUGAUUCCUAUGAUUCUCAAGUUCUCAUGCGCUAAAGUUAUGUCCCCUUUAUUGCAAGGGAGGCCAUUCUAAGCAGUGUGACAAUUUAGUGAGCAUG